UCUCUUUUCUUCUUUUUCUAAAAUGAAUCUGGGAGUUUCCUUUAGCCCCUGUUUUGUGGUCGCCUCCCAUACACGUUUUAUCUGUCCGUGGCAUUUUCUUUUAUUUAUUGAAAGCACCGUGUCUUAGAUCAAGUCUUGAGAAACAGAACCUGAGACAAACAUGAAUGUGGUUAAUUGAACGAGCGCUGUGCAGGAAAAGCUGUACUGGAGAGAGGCCUGGCCUGGUGUUCAGAACACAAAUGUGAAAAAUCAGACCGGGAAGAUCACGGGAGGCAGGAAGCAUCUGGUUUGCAGGAGUCUCACUCUGUCACCCAGGCUGGAGUGCAGUGGCGUGAUCUCAGCUGACUGCAAUCUCCACCCAAGUUCAAGAGAUUCUUCUGCCUCAGCCUCCCACGUAGCUGGGACUACAG
rnacentral:lncRNA from 1 species